AGAAUUCUGAGGUAUGCGCGAUGUCCUAAAAUGUGUUGACCGAACAUUUUUAAUAAAACAUUGGGAUCCAAACUGAAUCAAACGGAUAACAAGCCUUUUCACUUGGAAGUUAGAUGCUUGACAGUGGAGCCCACCUGCUAGAUUGCGGGUUCAAUACUACUUGGACGCAUAAACGGUACCAUCGGAAUUUUA
rnacentral:other from 1 species